GCUAAUCUUGGCAUAUGCAGCUACAGGGAGAAGUGUUUGAAGACUGGAUGUUUGGGGAGGACAUGGGUUGGAGCUUGUUCUCCACGCAUCCUCUCAGCGUCACAGCUCAUUUGGUCACGGAAUUGUGAGGGAAUGUAAAUUUGGGGGUUUCCCAUGUGUGGCAUUGUCUUUUGCGAUCUUGUGCUUAGCUAAAAAUGCUUCUCUUAGCAAUGCUGAGCCUGGUGACGGGUGGUUCAUUUGGAAAGAGAAUAAAGGACAAAUUCUGCUGCCCGCCUGUGCGACAGGCUUCACCAACUAAUUAAAUCCACAGUGCUUUCUGGCCUUAUGGAGACUUCGUGCAAUCCAGCCUGGAAUCUUGUCACAUCCAGAAGAUCUGUUGCUGUCCAGGUUUCCAUGGCAGCUAAAUUUUUUCCUUUUUUGUGAAAUUAUCCACAGCCCAUGGCGUCGGUUAGCCACAUAAGUGGGUGUAUUAUCAGCUUAAUGAAGGGACCCUUUCGGCAGGCGUCUUCCUAUGCUGUCAGUUCUGAGACGGGGUCAUGCACUUUACUGUGGCUCAGAAUGAAUGUGUCAUACAUCCAAGAGUGACCUUGGAUUCCUGAUCCUUUUGCCUGUACCUGCUGAGGUUACAGGUGAUAUGGGACUGUUUAGAUGGUCAACUUGAUCCUGAUUCAACUUUGGUACCUGGUAUCUGUCCAGUGGAUAUUAGCCCAAAACCUAGGAUACCCAAGAUAUAAGAUACAAUUUGCUAAACACAUGAAAC
rnacentral:lncRNA from 1 species